CGCCCCUGUCAUGCUUUUUCCUGAUGGGUCAUUAAACAUUGGGCGGGCUCUAGGGAGCACUCUGCCACCCAGCAUUGGAAUGGGAGAAAUGGCAGGCUAAGGUUAAUAGCUAAUGCCCCUGGGCCCUGUUGUGCCACAUAAUGGUUACUGUUGAUUGGACAGUUGUAGGCUUUGAGACCGGUGAUUGAUAAGAGGCCCUUUGUUCAAGACUGAUUCAGCUGUCGGACCUGCAGGAGCCUGAGUGUGUGUUCAUAAACAUGAUGAAAAAGCUCCAAAUCUGCUCACUUAGGAGCUACUGAGAGCCCGGGAAGGAUGAGCCUUUUGUUGUGGAGGCUAAAAAGAACAACAACGGCCAUGAUGUCACCAUGCAGGAGACACAGAGCCUCCAAGAUGACAAGGUACAGUCUUGAUCUGCUGCCGGAGGAGAAGAGAAAACCGCGUGUGGAAUUCCAGCUCAGGAUAGCAUGCAUCUUAACUGGUUUGUCCAAGCUUAGAUGAAUCCGUUAAAUUGUGCUUUCGUGGUUUAUUCUUCCUGUCUCUUCUGCAAACAAAUUCAUUAAUUCACUUUAAAAAAGGCUCUUUGCCUUCAUCAGGGGUGUUGCCCCAUGGAAAUCUGGAAGAUCAUGGCCUCUUCUGUUGAAAUAAGGAGGAUUUUUUUUUUUUUUUUUGAUUGCACAUAAUGAGCAGAACCCCCUUUUACCAAAUCCUAGCAUUUGGGAAAGGGACUGGUUGUGUGCCCACGAUUGAUUCAGUGUCAGACGUGUUCUUCCUCUCUGGCUUUAGGCAGUGUGCUGUUCUCUUCCUGCCUUCGCCACAGCCCCAGGUGGGACCGAGCCGUGCCAGCGCCUGGCGCAACCUGAGUUCCCUUGCAGGAAGUCAUAAAUACGGGCCGACUGGCUCCCGGUUGGUGGGGUAAGGCGCCGCGGGCGGGAGCCACAGACGGGCCGGGCGCUACCUGGAGGGCGUGGAGAGACCUGGGUGUCUUUCCUGAUCCGUGGUCCUCGGUGUCAGAAGAUGACAUGAUCACUUAAGACAGGCAGGCCAGUGGGAGAAAUGGACGGCAGCUGAGCAAAAGAGUCCGAGAGAGCGGCGGGGAAGCAGUGCGUGCGCUGACCCAGUCGCGAGGUUAAGAGCGAGGCUUUAGAGCCAGACCCAGUUUGGAAGCUGCCAGGAGUUGUAAGGAAUAAAUAAAAUCCUCCAUGACAAUGGCGUAGCACAGCCCCCAGUAUGUAGUCAGCGUGUCCUAUCUGGGAGCUGCGCGUGGUGGUAUUAACAGGAAUGAAGUGCUCACACAGCCUCUGUUAGAAGUUGGGGGCCACAUGUCAGGUACCACAGAGCACAACUCUCUGUUCAUACUCUUUUGUUUUUGCACGCAUGCGUGCUCUGGCUCCUCACUAGAGUCCAGGGUCACCCAAGCGAGGCCUCUCAUGGACUCCGUUCAAGGAAGCUUAGGUGCUCAGUCCCCAAAGCCCCUUUGUUGUCCCUGAGGUGAUCACCGCAACAUGGUGCCAUCACCAGCCCCCUUGCUGGGCUCCAGGGCCCCACUCGCCCCAGGGCCCUGCUCUGGGGCCUCUCGGCAGGAGGACGAGGCAGGAGGUGGGCCACACCAGCACGGAGGCCGGUGCAAUGGAGAUUGGGAUCUCACCAGUAGGGCAGGGGGGCCGGCAGACGUCAGGCAGGAGAGGGAUGGGGUGCGAGCAGGUCUGUGUUUGGAUAGAGGACUUCGGACCAGAAGAGGUACAGGCAAGGAGAGCAUGACUGUGAUCAUCCAGGCAAGAGGUGAGGGCCUUAAUUAAAGAGCAGUGGAGUAGCAUCUAGAACUAAUUGGCAGGUAUUGAUGAUCAGCUGGAAGUGGAAAAGAGAAAGUGACUUCUGGGUGAUGACGUUCACUGGAAAAGGAAGGAAGGGGAGAAGCAGGAUUGGGGCAGAGGGGCAGGGUUUGAAAAUAUGAAAACAAAAGUCUGGGACUUAACUGAGUUUGUGGGGCUGUGAGACCUGUGUCAAGCAUGCCAGCUACAUUUGGUAAGACCUGACUAUAUGUCAGGCAGUGUUCUAAGCACCUUACACGUGUUUUAUUUAUCCCUCCUAAGAGCCCUAUAAAAUAGGGGCCUUUCUGUCCAUUUUACAGAUGGGAAAGCUGAGGCACAGUGUAACUUGCCCAGCACAGUGUAAGUAACUUGCCUGACACAGCUAGGAACAGGUAGCGCCACAGUUGGACCCCCGAGCUUCUGGGCUCCGAACCAUGUUGUUUUUUUCUCCUUUCUUUUUUACUGAAGUAUAGUCAACACACAAUGUUGCAUUAGUUUCAGGUGUACGACAUAGUGACUGGAUAAGUCUGUAUGUUUUGCUGUGCUCACCACUGGUAGCUCCCGACCAUCAUAGUACCAUUGACUGUAUUCCCCGUGCUGUACCUUUCAUCCGGGUGACUUACUCAUUCCAUAACUGGAAGCUUAUGCCCCCCACUCCCCUUCACCUAUUUGCCCACUCCCCCAUGCCCUCUGGCAAACAUCAGUGUGUUCUCUGUAUUCAUGGGUCUGUUUCUGCUU